CAAACAACCAGGUUAAAUUUCCGGUCUGGAUUUUCAAGUUGGAGUUAGGGUUUCUUGCCGCCUCCUAUGUAUGCCGCUCUUAUCCGAGGGUUGGGCUUCAUCGAUUCGUGCUGCAAGCUGAGGCAUUCAACUGGCCGCGCUGCUGUCUAUUGUUUUUGGAUUGGUGCCCCUGUGUCGGUGGGGGGUCGCUUGGUGAUGAAUGAUAAUAAUCGUCGAAGCUCGAGCUAUAUCGUGCAGAUCUGCUUCAGCGAGGCGAUGAUGGAAGGUAGGAAUUCCUCGGUGGGUUAUUUCUAUCCCCGAUUCGGGACGGAAAGAGGAGCUUAGGAAGAAUAUGUAUACUUCUCUUGCUCCUCACUCACCACCUGAAAAAAAGGAAAAAAAGAAGGUAUUUUGAUUUUUUGUUUUCUGAGUUUGGGUAUUAAUUUGCUGACGAUGAUGACAAAAAGGCCGGACUCACAGCUGCCCUGGAGAUCCAUCCUUCAGUGGGUAGUAGAAUGAUGCAACUUGCGAUGAAGGUGUUCUAGCUGAGUCAGCUCUUUUGGUUUUGAAUAACAAUCCUUAACAUGAAUAGAGUUCCCUUGGUAUUCAAGAUCAUUCUGCUCUUUAUUUGAAAAGUUUUCUCCUUCAUCGAAACUAAGUCGACUGCUUUCUUAUUGAACUAGCACAGAAGACAUUCUCUUCGUAUAAGGUAUGCAAUACUUUUCAAAAAAAUAUAGCUGAUUUAAUUGCUAGCUAGGAAUCUGUUCUAAUGCAGCAAAGACCAAAAAAUCAUGGGCAUGAGCUUAAUUUCCUGCUACAUCCAACAGGAUAAGAUAUAGCUGCUGGAUUGUUGCAGCAGAGAUUUUACCUUUUGCAGCAAUCAUGGAACUGGAAGUGAUAAAAGAAAUUGUUUUCAUCCUUUGCUUCGUCCACAUGGCUCGAACUUCUCGUCGCUAGCAAAAAGGAGCUAGCUAGCGGCCGAUGCUUCAUGGAGGCCGAAGUCGGAAAUGGCUAAGAGGAGACAGAGUUAUUAUUAUUAUUAUUUUAAAUUUUGGUUUUUGAUGUAGAUUGUAGUUAUUAAAAAAAUUUCGGCUUCCAAUCAACUAAUCUGAUUUCUAGAUCCGUA